rnacentral:rRNA from 1 species
AAUACGUUCCCGGGCCUUGUACACACCGCCCGUCACACCAUGGGAGUUGGUUCUACCCGAAGGCGCUGCGCCGACCACGGUGAGAUUCAUGACUGGGGUG